rnacentral:lncRNA from 1 species
CAUGAUACUAAAACUGUCUCUUAGACAGAGAGAAUCAGACAGGUUCCCUGAAGUUAAACUUCUCAAAGAUUUGCUUGAACUCAACGUUAAAACCAUCUUCAAACUCGGGCUGCUCUGGAGCAUACUCAAUCACAUUCUGCUCAGAUACAUAUGAGGAAACAGAGAUCAGAAAUCACAAACUCUCUUGAUUGCUGCAGCGUCUGCACAAAAGCUUGUUAAUUGGGGAUAUCAACAUCACUCACACACUUCAGCGGCUCCUACGAUAAUCAACUCUAAUCUCUGCAACUUCAUCAUCCACCGAAUCUUCCUCAGUGGCUUCUGGAUCCUCGCUAACACACAAAGAGUGGCCAAGAUUAAGCUGAAUUAGCCAUUUGCAAUUUACAUUAAUCACACUUCAGGAGCUUAAAAGAAAAAGUUUGGUAACCUACAGGAAACUUAGCGGAGGGUUGAACAGAUUUCAGGGCCAUAGUUUUAUAUUCUUCUACAGAGGUUUUUGAUUAGGGAUAGAUGGAGAAAUAAAGGGAUGUAGAACGAUACAAUAUCUCAAUUUAAUGAUUUAGAUCUGAUGGACAUUAUU